GUUGCCUACCAAGGUCUUCAGUAGUAGACUUCAUGAGUCAUGGCAUUUAACUUCUUAAUGCAGGGGGAUCCGAAGCCACUCAAUUGAGCUGCUCCUGGCUAAUGGGAGUGGAGCGUCAGAAGCUUAUGUUGGCACAUAACGACCUGGAAGUGCUAAGAGAAGACCUUAGGAAUGUCUUGUCUUAUCUUGUGGUGUUGCAUAAGCCACAACCAGAUAUCUUCCCUUGCUGCACAGGUGAGAACAGUUUCUCUCUAUGCCGCUUUGCUCCUGGUAGUGGCAAAUCUUCUAAUGUGAUGUGCCUACAUUAGAUUACUUCCACUGUGAUGAUGUGUAUUGAGCAUGUUGAUAUUCAAGCAUGGAAGAUUGCAAUAUUUUUAGUUGAUCUUUGUGUCCUAUUGUGCGUUGACUUAUCAGGAAGGAAAUAGAUGAUCUUCAGUACAUCUCUCUGUACAUGUAUUUAUAAAUUAGACCAUGAUCAGUACAACCGCGUGUUGCAUCCACAUGUCACAUUAUACAACCCCGAAGCAUUUUCUUCUUCUUUUCCCUUGGCAGUUUUAAAUCAAGAGAACAUGUUCAAGUCGUGCAAUGCUCGAGUUGAUAAUGGAUUUGUUGGUCCUUGUUCUGGCCUAGCAUUUCCUUUUUUGUGUGUGUAAGUGAACUUUGAUUUACUCAUGUUUCUAGCAGUGGUAAAGAAACUUUGGCAGAAGUGCUGUGCAUUUAACCUUCUGAUCGUGUAAUCUUUAUUCCCAGAUUACUGGCUUGCUAUGUUUGGCUAGAUUGGGCAGUAUAUGCUUGUAGGAUUAGUUUAGCUUGAGUUUCAGGUGUUAUGUGCAUAAUGCAUGUAUUUGAUGUGCAGCCAAUUAAGUAGACAUAUUUUAGUUUCUUAGAUGGAGAAACAUCUUUUGACUAAUUUUGGCUCGAUGGUUUAGGAUGCAUUGUGCCAUUGAAUCCUCUUCACAUAAAGUUAUCCGGCUAACGAUUCAGUGGGUGCAUGCAAGGUUUUCAAAUUUUUAGAGGUUUGCCUCUUCCUGUAGAGGUUUGGACGAAAAUCUUUCAUGUAUGCUUGUUAAUUGUACUUGUGACAACAGUAGAAUUUUGUGUAAUAUCUGAGUUGUAUCUUUUCCUUCAAGAUAUCAUGUUACUCUUUUAUUUGUUGUGUUUCUUGUUACACCAAUCAUGGAGUUUGUACACUGAAACCCUCCAAGUUAACCACUUUUUUUUCUUGUAAGUUGUCAUAUUUGUGUAAUCAUUAUCAAGUACUUAUAUGCUUUGUUCUGUUAAGGCAUUGGUUUUGGUGCUGCCUACCAAGGUCUUCGACAUGUAUUAGAGUUAAUGACAUUUAACUUGUCAAUGCAGAAACUUCUUAUUGCGCCUACGAGGCCUGUGGCAAUUUUUUGGCGGAUUCCCGUGUACUGCAUGUAUGUUAUGUUCUAUAGUACACGAAUUUCCUAUUUAUCUGUUGGAUGUAUUGUGUAACUCCUUUUGAAAUAGCUAUUUUGUUUUGAUAGGUGGGUGCGGACAUGGUUUUGUCUUCACAGGGUUUGAUGUUGCUGAUCUUUCGUAAGAUUCUCCUGAUGGUGCCGAGGGUCUGGAUUCCUCGGCUGCACAUGUUGCAAAUUUGUUGUCUACCGAGCCUG